rnacentral:lncRNA from 1 species
UUUUUUUUUUUUCUUUUUUUAAAUAGGUCCUUCCUUUCUCCUUUCUGUUGCAUGAGCACUGUUCUAUUUCUAGAUGACUGAUUUCCUAUCAAAACUAAUCCUUCUAGAAUCUCUUUCCUAUAGGAUUUGCACUUGCCAACUAAUGGAUGAGAAGUAGCCAGAUAAAGGAAUCACACUACGGGUUCAUAUCUGAGCUCUUAAUGAGCUACUACUGUCACGGCACAAUGCUCUUUUACUGAGAUUUCAAGGGAAAAAUUCAGGCUUCAAGGCAGGAGGAAGAGGGGGUAUUGCUGAUAAAGACAUCUUAGGAUCUUGGUAUCUUCUAGAUCAUGGAAGUGUUGGUGAUCCAGUCCAGGCGUGACUGCUGAUCCUGAUGCCAAGGUGCAUGCACACCCUCAGCACCUAAUGCUGAGUCCUGAGUCCUUCUAUCCCACCUCAUGGCCUGGAAGGAAAUAAUGUUUUGCAUUAAAUUAUAACCAGCAUUAGACAUACAAAGUCUGUCUGCACUGGAUUGUUUGAUCAAAUGUAUACUAGGGUGACAUUCAGAAAUAUAAUCAACUGGUCUGGUGAAGGUACUGACCAAUCAGAUCCAGGCUGCUGAGGAAGGGGCUCCUUGGGCUACAGUGGGCCUGUGUCUUAGAGCCUUUGUUGGCCCUGUGAUGAUCAAUGGUGGGUGAGUUGCAGGUGACAGGAAAUGAAAGGUCAGAAGUGGGACAAGUGCAGAUGUUGAAGGAGGUCCCCAGUGGAAGGAAUGAGAAACACAAGCCUUCCUCAUGCCACGAGUGGAGUGGUGGGCUGUGGUGCCUGGGGAAUCACAGUGUCAGCCUUCUUUUGGCUUUUUUGUGUGUAUGUAAAAUCUGGUUAGCUAUUUCUAGGUCAUUCUUGCAGGUGGAAAGGCAUAGCCCACAACAGUAGGUAAGAUGAACUUGUGCCAUUGCCUUACCUAAGAGUGAGAGCGAGAUGCAAAAUGAUGGCUAACACAGGCUGACUCAAUAUAUACAACCUUUGUGCACUGAAAGAAAACAGAGGCACUUCCUUCUGCCCCUGACUACCUUCUGUAUACACUGUCUACUCUGUUAAUCUCAGGGCCUGUCGAAACAUGGCUCUUUGGUAAGAGCAUCAUUUCUUUGGACCCUAGCAGUUUUUCUGGAAAGGAUGGUAGUCAGGGGAUCGAGGAGGAACCCAUAUGAGCUUCCAAGGUCAAGUACAGAUGAGCCAGGUAGGGAAUGUGUCAGCUCAAGGGCAGAGUCACAUCUCCUCCAGGAAACCAUUUUUAGUUACUCCGGUUUCCCUGGACCUCUGAGUUUUCUGAACUUAUAGUCACUUUUGUAUAGGAAGGCAAUUAGAAUCAUCUAUAGAGUCGUUAAAGAUUCAGGAGGUCCAGGAUAGGAUGGAAACAAUUGUAUUUUUUUAAAAUGGUCGUACUAGGGGUAUGGAAAUUCCCAGGCUGGGGACUGAAUCCCAGCUUCAGCUGCGACCCGAGCUACUGCAGUUAGAUUCUCAACCCCUGUGCCACAGCAGGACUCCAACAAUUGUAUUUUUUUCCAAGGCACUUAUGUGUAAUUCUGAUAAAUGCUCUUUGUUGAGAAACAUUGUACCACAUUUAUAAGAGGUGCUUGGGAAUAGAACUUGCAAAAUGGAGCCCACAGAAGAAAUCUAGUUCCCAAAUGAGCUUUGUUUGGCUAGCAUGGGGUUAAAAAACCCUGAAAUUGAAUACUUUUAGGUGGGGGUGUGCCAUCUUCAAUUUGCUGCCAUGUCCCACUCUUUCGUAUUGCCAUGUAAUCAGGUGCUUGCCCUCUUUUCGCUGCCUGUGACUGAUGGGCACAUCACAUCUGGGUGAUGGCAUCCCUCACUUGGGCACAUUGGGAGGAACCCCACUUAUUCCAGGGGAGAUGCCCUAGCUCUGAGUUGUUUCUGAGGGUCCUUUUCAGUACUGACCUCAGAAUAACUUCAUACCACAAGCAAGAAAAAUCAGUUUCCUCACUCUGUAGCCAUGUAAUAAUUAUUUUUAUUUUAUUUUAUUUUAUUUAUUUUAUUUUCCCACUGUACAGCAAGGGGAUCAAGCUAUCCUUACAUGUAUACAUUACGAUUACAUUUUUUUUCCCCACCCUUUGUUCUGACACCUUCAAGUUUCACAAGAUAUUUCUGAAAAGGAAUAAAAUUUUACCUGAAGUUGACAUUUACCAUCUUUGAACUCAUGGAUUUGAGAUGAAGAUUCCAGAGUUAGCUAGCUCUAUUUCCACGAAGUCACAGAGGAAAGGCUUUUUACCCAUUUGUUCUUUUGAAGGGAAAUGUGAAUUCUGCAGAAGUGACUUCUGUCAACUCAAUACUAAUAGAGUUGCUAUGGAGACUUUGUAAACCAUUAAGAGCCCAGGGCUUGGGCACUGUCUAGCCUAGCACUGCCCAAUAGAAAUAUAAUGUGAGUCAAAAAUAAAAUUAAUAUAUUUAAUUUAAAAUUUUCUAAUCUCAUACAACUCAACAGCAAAAAAGCAAACAACCCAUUUGAGAAAUGGUCAGAAGACCUGAAUAGAUAUUUCUCCAAAGAAGACGUAGGAUGGCCUACAGGCAUAUGAAAAAAUGCUCAACAUCACUAAUUAUCAGAGAAAGGCAAAUCAAAACUACAAUGAGCUAACACCUCACACCAGUCAGAAUGGCCAUCAUUAACAAGUCAGCAAAUAACAAAUGCUGGAGAGGGUGUGGAGAAAAGAGAACCUCCCUACACUAUUGGUGGGAAUGUAAAUUGGUACAACAACUAUGGAAAACAGUAUGGUGGUACCUCAGAAAACUAAAUAUAGAACUACUAUAUGACCCAGCAAUCCCACUAUUGGGCAUAUAUCUGGACAAAACUUUCCUUGAAAAAGACACAUGCACCCGUAUGUUCAUUCACAAUAGUCAAGACAUGGAAACAACUUAAAUGUCCAAUGACAGAUUAAGAAAACAUGGUACAUAUACACAAUGGAAUACUAUUCAGCCAUAAAAAGAAUAAAAUAAUGACAUUUGCAGCAACAUGGAUGGAACUAGAGACUCUCAUACUAAGUGAAGUGACUCAAAAAGAGAAAGACAAAUGCUGUGUGAUAUAACAUAUCUGGAAUCUAAUAUACAGCACAAAUGAACUUAUCUACAGAAAAGAAACAAACUCAUGGACAUGGAGAAUAGAUUUGCGGUUGUCAAGGGGGAGGGGGAGGGAGUGGGAUGGACUGGGAGUUUGGAUUUAGCAGAUGCAAACUAUUGCAUUUGGAGUGGAUAGGCAAUGAGAGCCUGCCGUCUAGCACAGGGAACUAUAUACAAUCACUUGUGAUAGAACAGGAUAGAGGAUAAUGUGAAAAAAAGGAUAUGUAUAACAGGGUCAUUUUGCUAUACAGCAAAAAUCGACAGAACAUUGUAAAUCAACUAUAAUAAAAAUCUCAAAGUAAAAUAAAAAAUAAAAAAUUUCUAGUGCUCACAUUAAAAAAAUUUUGAAUGUAAAAUUAAUACAAUAAUAUACUGUAUUUAAUUCAAUGUAUCCAAAGUAUUGUCAUCUCAACAUUUAACCAAUAUACAAAAUUAUCAAAAUAUUUUAUUUUUUGUCCUUCAUGUUUGAAUCCAGUGUGUGCUUUAUACUUAAAGCCCAGCUCAGUUUGGACUAGCUUUAUUUCAAGUGCUGUGUGUGGCUAGUUGCUGUCAGAGCAACUCUUGUUUAGAGGCCAGCCUGAGGUCUUGGAAUGUGGAAUGGCCUCCUUCGGAUUGGCCCCUCCCAUGAUCAGCCUGUGUGUGCUCUUGUUGACCUAAGACGGUCUUGCUCUUGGGUCACUAACUCACGUCCUGGAUGCUAUUGCUUUCUUGUUCUGAUGAACAACUUUAGCCAGGUUUCCUAGUACUGCACCCACUUUCCUCUGGGCUUCACUUCUUCCGCAUCAAGUCCUUGCAUGUCACUACACCAUAAUUCAAAGCUUCUAUGGGCUGGGAUCCCACGGACCUGACCCAAACAGGAAACUAGCUUUCUCUUUGUUUAUUUGGAAACAUGAAGCAGAAAAUGUCGGACACUUGUUUUCAGUGCUUCAUUGAGCUGAAACUGUCGUAACACUCAGCUCUUUCCAGUGGGGCUUUCCAACAUGGAAUGAUUUAGAGGAUUCCACUGCUAGAUCAAGGGGACUGACUAGAACAUGAACGGACCCUAAGCUUUCCUUGCUCCGAUUGUUAUCAUUGGCUGACUCAUCCUUUGUUUAGAAUCCUGUUAGUCAGAGGCUAUAAAACCUUGUAUGAGGUUGGGGUAUCUAAAAUAUGCUGGGAAUAUUUCUGUAAGUGUUUCACAGAGUAUUGCUGUGUGAAAGGUCUCAGUUUAGGUCUCUUUUCCAAAUCUUUGUGAAUUCCAUAAUAGACAGUCUAGUUGGUCACCCACCACAGGCUCUCUCCAGUGUGGCCUGGGCACAUAGGUGCUGUAUACUGUCUGGUGGCACCAUAUACCAUUGUGGCAGGCGUGUUGGUGCCUGUCCAACCACCAUUCCUUCUGUUUUUGCCAUGAUAGGGCAGAGCACACUUGCAAUAAUAGAGGCAUGCCAGAUGCAUGCUUUCCCAGACUCCUUUGUUACCAGGAAUGACCAUGUGACCCAGUUCUGCCAAAAGACACAAGCGAAAGUAUUUUUGGAGAGUUUCUGGGAAAGAUUUUUUCUCCCUGAUAAGAAGAGAGAGCCAUGAGAAAAUGACAGUCCUGCCAUUCUAGUUGCCUCCUUCUUCCUGAUGUGGUUGUGAUGUUUGCAAAUAUCUAUUUUGGAACCAUGACAUAACAAAACUGAAGAUGAAAGUGAAGCCUUCUAAGGAUGCUGAGAAUGAUGAUGGGUGGAAAGAGAUUGCCUCUUUGAUGACAUCAUUGAGUAGCUGCACUGAAAUUGGAACAGUACUUCCUAAUUUUAGGAACAAAACUACUGUUGUUUUAACCAUUUUUUUUUUUAAGUCGGGUAGUCUGUUUCUGGCAGCCAAAAGCAUGCUGACUGGUAUGGAUGCCUGAUAUUCAAUGAUCUCUUUUUUUUUUCUUUUUGGUUUGUUUUUGGCUGCAUCCACAGCAUGAAGAAGUUCCUGUGUCAGAGAAUGAAUCCGUGACAUAGCAGUGACUCAAGCCUCUGCAGUGACAAUGCUGGAUCCUUAACCUGCUGAGCCUCACAGGAAUUCCCUUAAUUAUAUGUUUUUGUUUUCUGUUUCUUGGAAAGAAGUGGUCACCAGAAUAUUUUUCCCUCAAACUUGUCACCUGGUUAACUCUCAUCCUCAUCACCACACUCCUCCAUCUACUCAUUUGCUUGUUAGUUCACCUGUUAAGGUUCUUGUGAGGGAAGAAAUCAUGACUGUCUGGGGAGCUAUGGUAGUCCCAGUUCCUGUUAUGUAAUGUCAUUCAGCAAAUAUUUACCAAUUGAUGAACGUGGGGGUGGCAGUCUAUGGUAGAAUUCUAGGUAGAAUCUCUACAGUGUGGCUGUCGCCUAGAGGUGAGUGCAUGCAGCUGGGGCUGGCGCUGUGUUUCUGGCUUGUGAGGUUGGCUAAAGGGUGCUGCCUCUAUCAUGAGUCAACAUGGGAGGGAAAGCAGAAUAGUUUAAAGAGCUGAGCUUUGUCCUGGAUGUGUUGAAAUUGAGGGGGUACUUUUGGAAGGGUCCCUGAAAACAGUUGGAUAUAGGGUCUGGAUUGGAGCUUGAGAAAGUGGGGUUUGUCCAGGAAGAGUGUGGCGCAUGAGAAAAGAAAGACUCCCAUCUCACUGUGGGGCACAGCCAUCCGUCUUGCCACCCAAGCCUGAAAUCGGGAAGUCACCCAUGCCACCGCCCUCUCCCCGACCUCACAUUCAAUCUACCUCCAAGUCCUGAGGAUUCUACCUCCUCUCUCUCAGACCCAUGAAUGUCUGUCCAUUCCCCCUGCCACCACUGGAGUCCCACCACUGGAAUCCCACCUCUCUCCGGCACCGUUGGCCUUCUCAUGGUUUCCUGAGUCCACUCUGAUGCUCUUUCUCUCACUGUUCCAGCCACUCCCUCUUUGGAAGCACCAGCGGCCUUCCUGUCUCAAGGCUCGAAGCCCACGAGGUUCCUUCCACCAAACAACUUUGCUCCCUCCAUCCUCCGCCUCCAUCCACCUGCUCACUUCCAGUCCAUUUUUUGUGUCUCAGCCUAACUCCAUGUCCUCAGGGAGGCCCUCUCUGACUCCUCCCUUCCCUACCCACCUUUGUUGGAAUACCAUGGGUGAUUUGGGUCUUGAUGACAUGUAUUGUCAAAUAAAACUUUAAAAGACUUAUGUUAUCAAAAUUAAAAUAUUAAUUAAAAUGAGAAAUAUCACUAUCAAGGAUCUUGAGUCUGGACAAGUAUAAUUUUUCCCAUAGAAGGCAAAUCUACAUAGGAAGUCAAAUAGCUUGUGUGUACAGGAUUAGAAAAGGGCACUUGCUGCUUGAUCUAAAUGAUUGCGUUAUCUAAACUGUGACACCCCAGUGCAUCCAUUUUUACCACAGACAUCUCCCUCCACACCUG